rnacentral:rRNA from 1 species
UACGUAGGGGGCAAGCGUUGUCCGGAUUUAUUGGGCGUAAAGAGCGUGUAGGCGGCUUUGCAGGUCCGCUGUGAAAACUCGAGGCUCAACCUCGAGCUGUCGGUGGAAACCGUAAAGCUAGAGUUCGGUAGAGGAGUGUGGAAUUCCCGGUGUAGCGGUGAAAUGCGCAGAUAUCGGGAGGAACACCAGCGGCGAAGGCGGCACUCUGGGCCGAUACUGACGCUGAGGAGCGAAAGCGUGGGGAGCGAACAGG